rnacentral:lncRNA from 1 species
UAUUCCAAAAGCAGGAUGUUGAAGAAUGGAAGAAAAACAAGCUAUGAUUUUUUUCCCCCCUAGAUAAGAAUGAAUAAUGGUUAAAAGAAACAUGAACAGCAAAUGUGGGACAGGGGAAAGCUCUGGAACCUCAGCUGGGGUGGAGAAGAGAGCAGAGACCUUCUCCUUUAUCCCUUUGAUCAGGGGAAAAGGCAACCACAGUGGUGGAACUGCAGGUUCAUUGAUCAAUUCCUUAAAUAAAAGCACCUUUUUUCUUUUUAGCCACAAAGAGGAGCUGGUUUGGUGUAGCAAGAGCAGGAGGAGGCAGAGGCUGCCAAGAGCAGAGGGACUGGAAGUGCCAAGGCUGGGGGUGAAGUCAGGAUCCAGAAAUCCUGUCAGAUGCCCUCCCACACACUGCCCUGCUCUGUCUGGCUCUGAGGACAUUAAGACUGCUUUGCCUUUGCCUUCUGAGGGUCCAGGGCUCUCUGGCUUUACUUUGAAUUGUAAAACAGAAGCCAGACUCCUCUGCCUCAAGCACUGGCACAGAGAUCCCUCAGACAAGGCCCUGAUUGAUGGGCUGGCACCACCAGCAGGAAUUAUUUACCUGGCAGCAACAGGGGGAUGUCUGCAUCUGGAAUUAGGACAUUACAUGUCCCACAGCCUGAGGAAAGUGAAGAAAGCCAGGUUUAAUUCUUGGCUGGAACUCCUCAUCCUCACCUCCUCCAUCCCCAGGGGGAGGUCUGAGUGCCCAAGGAUCUGUGAGAGGACCAAGCAAUUUAAAAUGACUUAAAAUAUCUCUCCAGAAGCAUUCACUGGGAGUACAAUAGGUGAGAGAGAGCAGGAAAGGAAAACCAGGAAGGGACUGAGGCAUCCAGAACACAGAUCCCAUCUCCUGGAUGAAGCCAGUCACAGACAUCACCAGGGUGACCAAAUGCCUCAUCCUCCCAACUCACAGCACCAAACAGCUGCAGCCUGAACGAGCAAACAGCAGGGUUUGUAUUGUGCAGUUUUCAGUUUUAGAAAAGGAAAAAAAAAAAAAAAAAAAAAGAAAAAGAAAAAAGAAAUCUUGUUGCAGCUCACACUAGGCCUGUUAUAACUAUGCCUGUUAUUCACCCAGGGAUAAAUAUUGACUCAGUCCUGUGUGUGUACACAAUAGCCAGUGCCUGCCAGGACAGUUGCUUGCAGGAGGUGGAAUUUAGUUUAAAGGCAUUUAUUUACCUGCCAGGCAGGAAUGCAGCUGCCAGGGUGAGGGCAGGAUCUGUCCCUGCACACCCCAGAUGUGGGGCAGGACCCUCAUCCCAGCAGGAUCCUGGAGCAGCCAUGAGGGGAGGCUGGCAAAGCUGCCAAUGAGGCAGCUCAGAAAUUCCUGGGAACUUCAAGACCCAGACCUUCAUCAUGUCAACUGCAUUCUGCAAAUGUCUGGCCCCAGACAAAAAGAACUGGAAACUACACAUGCCCAAGCUCUGGGAUACCUCCUGGUUGUCCCCAUGUGGACAUUUUUCUGGAAUAAACUUGCCUUUAUUCUGGAAUGGAAUGUCUAUACUGGGAUAUAUUCUUGUCAUGGUUCCUGUGUAAACAAGCCUUAAAAAUGAAUGGAGCUGGGCUUUUUUUUUUUUUCUGUUUCCAUUCACCAAUAAACACCCUCAAAUGGAGUUUCCACCCUGCUCUGGGUCCUGGUAACAAUAGAAGUGGGAAGAUAAAAUAUUAACACUAUUUUGCAAGAGGCAAUUGCAUGUAACUCCUCCAAAGAGAACAAUGCUGCUCCAGGCAGGAAGGGAAACUCAGAAAUCUUGGCUCCUGCACUUUUGGAAACACAAAGCUUUUCUUUUUAAGUUUUGCCACGUUGCUUGGGGCAGGUCAGACCGAGGGAGUCCAGCCUGUGACACCAGGGAUUGGUACUGGCCAGCAGAGCCAGGGCCUGGCCAGGGAGUACCAGGGC